CUCCUAAAACUUUUCAUUUCCCCCACAACUGUGCGGUUUAAUAGGAACCCUUUCUCAGACUGCAUUUCUGAAUGUGCAAAUAUUCAAUGGAACACUAAUUUAAAGCUGUGUGCUAAUGAAAUCCACCAGAGUUAAGUCCUCCACACUUUCAACUUUCACACCCAACCAAAUACAGUGAGCAUCUUAUUUUAAGUGGUGCUGCAAAUGCCAAAGAUAAAUGUAAUGUUUGAAUGUCAACCUAAAAUAUUUUGCCUAAUAAAACUUUCUAAUUCUAAGCAACUUGGCAAUAUACAUUCAUUACAAUAUUUCGAUUUUAAAUCGAAAAGCUACUGAAAUCAGGAUAUUAUCUGCUGAUUAGACUGAAACAAUGUAAGACAAUCCAGUUGAAUAACAUACUUCUGCACCAUUGUUUAAAAAGGAACAACCAGAAGUUUAGCAAAUGUUGGUGUCACUAGCAAUUGUUUUUACAAAGCUUUAAAAGCACUGAAAACGUGUAUAUUGGAAACUUCAAAAGAGUGCACGUACUUCUGCAGCCAGCCGGUGAGGUAAAAAAAAUUUAUUUCAUCUCAUUAAAAGUAAAAUUGUCCUAAGGCUGGCUGCAGGAGUGCGUGCGCUUUCUUUUGAUUAACGCCUCAAGCUAUGGUUUCGGGGCACAGCACCCGGGCCAGCUAAUGGAUUUGGUGAGUUUGCCUACUGCUGACUUUAAGAGCACAUUAUCUUUGAAUCAAGUGUUUGAAGUUUUGGACCUGGGGUUUCUACACCCAGGUCACUUCGCCCCUUGGGUGAGCUAUGGUUUCAAAUAUAUCUCUCUCCCUCUCCUUUUAAAGGAGAACUAGCCUAAAAGUUUUAUUUCUGUAUUAUAAGGAAUUCAGUUAUCUCAGGAGUUUCCCAUCUUAGGGAUGUCGGACGCACAUGCUGGGUGUACUUUGAGCAGCUGUUGGAAACUGAGAUUUGUCUGUCACAGCGCUGAUUUAUGAUUGGCAGCUCAACCUCAAUUGGCAUCAAUUAUUUACUGUUCAGACUUGUAUUGUGACAUUUGCAUUCUAUAUAUUCAAUAUUUCAGUAUCUUAUCAGUCCCUAAGCUCAGUAACUUGACAGUCCAAAAGCAUGUGCAGUGAAUCUAUAGAAGGGAUGAUGUGGAGCUACAGGGCCAUCUAUGGGGACAAUUCUUUACUGCUAAAGGGCUGUAGUUGCCUUGGGCUAGUAUAGAAAAAAUAAUCAACAUUUCUUCCCUACCAAGCUUUAUUUCUCCUUUAAAUAAUUGAGGUUUCCUUUUAUCACUGCUCCAAAAAAUGCCACCCUUACCUGUGAUGAGAAUUUGGCUCCCUCUUCUGAAACUAGUGAGGAGAUUGCCAAUUGUUACCCAAAACCUCUGAGGUACACGGAGGCAAAUGUAGCAAAUACGUUUAGGAUGCACCCAAUCCACUAUUUUGGAUUCAGCAGAACCCCUGAAUCCUUCACGAAAGAUUAAAUUAAGGGUGGGAAGGGGUAAAACAUUUUUUACUUCCUUGUUUUGUGACUAAAUCGCAUGAUUUCCCUCCCCACCCUUAAUUUGCAUAUGCAGAUUUGGUUUGGCUGGCCGGAAGGAUUCGGCAGAAUCAUGGAUUCGAUGCAUCCCUAAAUAAGUUAUUCCUUGAACCAAAUUUAUAUAGACGACUAACCGUUCAAGUCACUUAAACUGUAGAGUAGAAAAACUCUAUAGAUAACUGUAAUAAUGUAACUUUCUAAGCAAAGGUGUUCUGUAUCCUAAAACUGUGAAGCUUGGUUAUGAAGUACAAUACAACCUUCAGUAAUGUAACUUUUACAGACCCAAAUCCCAUUCCCCAUGCACAUCUUAAAGCAAUGAUGCAGAUGGCUGCCACUACAACAUUUUUCUUUUGUAUUUCUUCAAAAUAGUACUGUAUCUAUUCGGGUUUGAGGUAUGCAUGUUGUCAUAACGUAUAAGACAUGAUUAUCCUGUACAGUUUUACUUUAAACUGUGCUGUAUGAUGUAAUUUGUCACAACUCCCUUAACCUUGUGUACAGUUAAUCAGACAUGUUAAUCCACAAUGCUCAAGAUCUAUUUUCUGGAUAACUGGUAUUUCCAUAAUGUGGAUCUCUACCUCUAGCUUGCCAAGUCAUUUAUAUCUUAAACCCAAUAGGAUUGUUCUGCCUCCAAUUUAUUUGGACGUGUGUGUGUAUAAUCUCAUCUAAAAUAAAACAAAUGUAAUCUCCUUCACAGGGAGUUUUCUUGUCACUCCUGACACCACAGGUUAAAAUUUUUUUUUUUAAACAUACAUGCCCCUUCAAUGUGGCCACACUUUUUUAGCUUGACAUCUGGCAAACAUUGAGCUGUUUCUUCAGGUUUUAAUUUUUCUGAAGUUGUUCUUGGUAUUCACCAAGGCACCUGGCCUAUCGCAUAUUUUUGCUGACUUAAUUGGUAGUGCAUAAACUUUUUUGGGGGGGUUGUUUUCUUUAGUGCUGUCAUAUUUUGGAUGCUUUCUCAAACAUUAUUUCUUUUUA